UACGAAGGGAGCUAGCGUUGUUCGGAAUCACUGGGCGUAAAGCGCACGUAGGCGGACUUGUCAGUCAGGGGUGAAAUCCCGGGGCUCAACCUCGGAACUGCCUCUGAUACAGCAAGUCUCGAGUCCGGAAGAGGUGGGUGGAAUUCCUAGUGUAGAGGUGAAAUUCGUAGAUAUUAGGAAGAACACCGGUGGCGAAGGCGGCCCACUGGUCCGGUACUGACGCUGAGGUGCGAAAGCGUGGGGAGCAAACAGG
rnacentral:rRNA from 1 species